UACGGGGGGGGGCAAGCGUUGUUCGGAAUUACUGGGCGUAAAGGGCUCGUAGGCGGCCAACUAAGUCGGACGUGAAAUCCCUCGGCUUAACCGGGGAACUGCGUCCGAUACUGGAUGCUUGAGUUUGGGAGAGGGAUGCGGAAUUCCAGGUGUAGCGGUGAAAUGCGUAGAUAUCUGGAGGAACACCGGUGGCGAAGGCGGCAUCCUGGACCAAUUACUGACGCCGAGUGAGCGAAAGCCAGGGGAGCAAACGGGGAUUAAGA
rnacentral:rRNA from 1 species